rnacentral:rRNA from 1 species
UACGUAGGGUGCGAGCGUUAAUCGGAAUUACUGGGCGUAAAGCGUGCGCAGGCGGUGAUGUAAGACCGAUGUGAAAUCCCCGGGCUUAACCUGGGAACUGCAUUGGUGACUGCAUCGCUCGAGUAUGGCAGAGGGGGGUAGAAUUCCACGUGUAGCAGUGAAAUGCGUAGAGAUGUGGAGGAACACCGAUGGCGAAGGCAGCCCCCUGGGUCAAAACUGACGCUCAUGCACGAAAGCGUGGGGAGCAAACAGG